GAUGAAGAACGUAGUGAAAUGCGAUAAUUAAUGUGAAUUGCAGAAUUCAGUGAAUCAUCGAAUCUUUGAACGCACAUUGCGCCCCCUGGUAUUCCGGGGGGCAUGCCUGUCCGAGCGUCAUUACAACCCUCAAGCUCAGCUUGGUGUUGGGCCCCGCCGCCCCGGCGGGCCCUAAAGUCAGUGGCGGUGCCGUCCGGCUCCGAGCGUAGUAAUUCUUCUCGCUCUGGAGGUCCGGUCGUGUGCUCGCCAGCAACCCCCAAUUUUUUUCAGGUUGACCUCGGAUCAGGUAGGGAUACCCGCUGAACUUAAGCAUAUCAAUAAGCGGAGGA
rnacentral:misc_RNA from 1 species